GCAAGUCGAACGGGAUCACAGAGCUUGCUCUGUGUGAGAGUGGCGAACGGGUGAGUAACACGUAGAUGAUCUGCCUUGAGGUUGGGGAUAGCUCAUGGAAACAUGGGGUAAUACCGAAUAAGCUGCACAAUGUAAGGUUGUGUAGGAAAGGGGCUUAGGCCUCGCCUUGAAGAUGAGUCUGCGUCUUAUUAGUAGUUGGUGGGGUAACGGCCUACCAAGACGACGAUAAGUAGCCGGCCUGAGAGGAUGAUC
rnacentral:rRNA from 1 species